rnacentral:rRNA from 1 species
GUACGAUCGCAAGAUUAAAACUCAAAAGGAAUUGACGGGGGCCCGCACAAGCAGCGGAGCAUGCGGCUUAAUUCGACGCAACGCGAAGAACCUUACCAAGGCUUGACAUAUAGGGAAAAGUGGCAGAGAUGUCAUGUCCGCAAGGGCUCUAUACAGGUGGUGCAUGGUUGUCGUCAGCUCGUGUCGUGAGAUGUUGGGUUAAGUCCCGCAACGAGCGCAACCCUCGUUCUGUGUUGCCAGCAUUUAGUUGGGGACUCACAGGAGACUGCCGGGGUUAACUCGGAGGAAGGUGGGGAUGACGUCAAAUCAUCAUGCCCCUUAUGUCUUGGGCUGCACGCAUGCUACAAUGGCCGGUACAGAGGGCUGCAAUACCGUAAGGUGGAGCGAAUCCCAAAAAGCCGGUCUCAGUUCGGAUUGAGGUCUGCAACUCGACCUCAUGAAGUUGGAGUUGCUAGUAAUCGUAGAUCAGCAACGCUACGGUGAAUACGUUCCCGGGGCUUGUACACACCGCCCGUCACGUCACGAAAGUCGGUAACACCCAAAGUCAGUGGCCCAACCGCAAGGGGGGAGCUGCCUAAGGUGGGAUCGGUGAUUGGGACG